CCCAAAGUGCUAGGAUUACAUACGUGAGCCACUGUGCCUGGCCGAUGCCAUCUAUUUUAAGAUGCAUCCUGGUGAAAGAAAAUGUGAAGAAAAUAUAUCACAAGAUUGAUAAGGUGUGGUAGUAUUUAUGUAAAGGGAAGGACAAAGACAAUGCAAAUAGUGAUCUUGUUGGUAAGGCUAUUUAUUUUGAAAAACUAAUAUUUUGUAGUUAGGACGACAUACUCAUUGACAAACUAAUUAAAUGCAGAAAAAGCUACUAAGAAGACAAUAAAAUCACAAAAAUCUCACCAUUCAGAGAUAAACUUCCAGAUACCUAAAUGUAUAUAGACACAUAUAGCUAUGUGGACAUAAUGCUUUGUAAAUAAGUUUAUGCUACAUUGCAGGUUAAUUUUUUCACACUUAAAAACAUGCUGAGAGGUCAGGCAUGGUGGCUCACGCUUGUAAUCCCAGCACUCUGGUGGAUCACUUGAGGUCGGAGUUCGAGACUAGCCUGGCCAACAUGGUGAAACCGCAUUUCUACUAAAAAUACAAAAAUUAGCCUGGCAUGGUGGCACAUGCCUGUAGUCCCAGCUACUCGGGAGGCUGUGGCAGGAGAAUCACUUGAACCUGGGAGGUGGAGGUUGAGGUGAGCAGAGAUCGCACCACUGCAUGCGCCAUAGCCUGGGAGACAGAGACAGACUCUGUCUCAAAAAACAAAAACAAAGCCAAACAAACAGAUAAACAAACAAAAAACAUGCUGAGAUUAUGUUUCUACCUCAGUAAAUAAAAAAACACACACUCUUAUUUUUUAAUGGUAGCAGAGUAUCUCAUGUUUUUAACCAAUCAUCCAGUGAUGGAGAUUUUGUUGUUUCUUUUCAAUUUCGCUUUUAUGAAUGCUAAAAUAAUAAGCAUAUUUAUGCAUUUAUGUUUUCCCUGUUGUGUUAUUAUCUCUUUGUGGAGAAUUUGUAGUUAUAAGACUGUUGGAUUGGAUGGGAUUUAUUUAUCAUGGAUUACAAAAAUAGCAACAUUUAUGAUGAUGAUAUGGAUUGACCGACCUGCCAAAAUUGUGUCUAUUCAUACUCUAUCAAAAGUUUUUGAUAAUGCCAAAUUUCCUUUCCUUUUGCCAGUGUUAGGCUUUUGACAUUUAUCUGAUGCCAAUCUUAUGGUUUUAAAAGAUUUAUUUUUUUAUUGUUUACUUAUAUUUGAGAAAAUAACGAAACUGAACAUCUCUAUUUUUUGAUCUACUUUAAUUUCUUCUUUGGUAAAUCAACUAUGCAUAGUCUUUGACCAUUUUUCUUUUUAUAAUUGAUUUUCAAGAGCUCUUUGUACAGUAGUAAUUCUUUGUCCAAUAUGUGUGUUACUAAACUUUUCUUCUGUUUUCCAAAUGUCUAUAAUAAUUAUGAUUCUUUGUUUUGGUUGCCCAGAAAUAUUUAAUUUGUAUGUAAAUUCAUUUUCACUGAUGGCUUCUGGCUUUGGUGUCAAGUUUAGAAAGACUUGUUCCAUUCUAUAGUUUUUAAAAGUGUUUACUCAUACUUUUGCUUCACUUUUUACAUUUAUUAAGAAUUUUAAUCUAACUGGAAUUUAUGAAAUUUAAUUUUUCCCCUAAUGUGGCUAGUUUGUUGUCUUCAAUUAUUUAGUGAGUAAUCAAUCUGUUCCCUGUGAUUUAAAAUGCCACAUUUGUCAUACAUUAAAUCUCAUAAUAUGUGAGAUUGGUGUCUGUUUCCGGGAUUCUCUGUCCCUUGGCAAUUUGUCUUUUCCUGCACCAAUGCUAUUCAUGUAUUGUUAUUGUUAUUACUGCUAAAUACAAGGUGUUACUAUCUAAUAGAAAAAGUGUGUACCCCUCUCUUCUAGUCCUUUCGUAAUUUUUGUUACCAUCUUUGCAGAUGAAUUUAAAAAUAAUUUUUGUUAAAUUUUAAAAUAAUCCUGUUGUAAUUUUGACUGGCAUUACAUACAAGUUAUGGUCUGUUUUAGAGAAAGAACUAAAGAACUGACAUCUUUACAACACCAAGUCUUUCUGUCCACAAACAAGCCAAGAAGACAAACCAAAUUCUCUCUGAAUUUGUCUACAUGCAACAACAAGACCUCAUGGGCAAUUUCAUAAAGACCCGACUGACUAAUGUGGACUGAUUCUGUUGUGGCCUGGUGCUUUAUGGAGGCUGAGAAGUUACUACGUAGAGGAAAAGAGACAAACAACGCUGAAGGGGGAAGGAAUGGCCUCUGCUAAAUCCCAGAUCUGAACUGACUGUAAUGGAAACCAAACAAGCCACAGAAGCCUGCACUAAUGAUCUAGUUACACUCUUCCCUUCCUCCCUUUCUCUUGCAACAGAGGGCACCACUCUCCAGGAAAGCUCAUACUGUAUCUAGAAUUUCUGUACAGAUUUCCUCAAGGCACAGUUAGGUUCAUCGAUAUAACUUUAACAUGAGCACUGUGUUGUGUAGUGCUCAGGUAUGCUUUCUUCUGUUUGCUAUUACAUUAAUGCUGAAAACACAAUUUUCUAAAGCUGAAAUGGAAUGUGUAUCAUAUGAAAAGAUUAAUAAUAUUUAAUUGACUGAAGUACAUAAUUAGUAUUACUAUAUUUUAAUAAACAUACAUUUGAUCUAGGCAUUUGACCUAAGAAAAUAAUCAGAAAUAGGGUAAAGAUUUUUGUACAAAUCAAUUUAUCUUGACAUUAUUUGUGUAAAUCUUAUAAAGCCAUCAUCUGAGAGUAGUGUUGUGAACAGAGAAACACAUAUCAAUAACAACUGAAUACAAUUUUAAAACACUGUAAGUUCAGUAUUAAUUAGGUUCCUUUGGUUACAGGCAACAAAGAAUAAUUGUGGAUAACAUACAAAAAAAAAAAGAAUUAUUUGGAAGGAUGUGGGUAGUUCACAGACAUGAAGGAAAAGCUGAAUAGCCCUUAUGAAAGAUAAGUAUGAGGCUGCACUAAGGGUGUAGGUUUUAGGAACACAUAAAGGAUUUUACAGGGUGUUACCCUCAAGAUGAGCCAACUGCAAAUACUUUCCUUUCUUCUGUCACUGUACUCAAGAUUCAAAUACCUGAGAAAGAUCUUCCAAAUAGCCUUACCAAGGCCCUAUGUCUACCAUUUGGCCAAGGGAACAUAGGUACCUCGAGUUAACAGUUUUAUCAAGACUUCAUAGCAUAGGAAAUGAUAGCAGAGACUAUCUCUGGAACACAAUGAACUACAUUCUUGAUUUGCCUUGCAGCUAGGUGGGGACCAUGUGACUGAGUUCUGGGCAAUGGAAUGGGGGCAAAAGUGAUGUACGCCACCUCUAGCCUGACCCAUUAAACUCCUGCAGAUCCUCCAUGCUCCUUUUCCUUCUUCAUCUCAAGGCAGGUUGCAAAAGGAUCAGUGCAGGGCUCAGAGGCCCUGCAGGAUAUCAAAUCCACCACACGGAAGGAGCUGAGUUCUCUAUGUCAUCACAUGGAGUCCACCCCUGUACCACCAUUGGACGGAAAGAGACAUGAGAAAUAAACUGUAAUGAUGUUAAGCCACUGAGAUUUGGAGGUUCUUUAUUUCAGAAAUGGGGCUACCCUAAUAUUCAAGGGUGUAUAUUUGACAGACAAAAAACAAAACAAAAAACCAAAAUUUGAUUCUGUAAUUUCUGUACUUGCGUUAAAAAACCUCAGUGAGGAGGUUACAUAGACCAUGGUAAUUUUUUUUAAUUCUCCCAUCUAAUUCCCUCACACAGUUACUCCCACAUCUUAUCCUUCAAAAUUCUCAGAAAAUUUAUCUUCCAGUCCUGCCCACAUACCUCUUGUUCUUCAACUCCAGCCUCACUUCUUUCCCUCUGAAUCUGCAUCACAAAAGCUCAAAUAAUCAUCAGGCAAAACAGAACUCCCCUUCGAGGGUGGGAGAAGAUGAAAAUUAAACAUCUGUCAGAUAAAGGGGAAUGUCAGAGAAAGGGAACAUUCAUGCAUUAAUAAUAUUGUAACAUUUAUGGCAAUGAAAACUUGGAAACCACCUGAACGUCAAACAUUAAGGAAGUAGUUAAAUAAAUUAUGGCAUACUUGUUACUGGUUAUAAGAACAAGACAGAUUUAGUCACUGUGCUCGUGGAGCUUGUAUACUAACAGUAAUAUAUUAUGUUCAUCAAUAAUCAUAUUUUGGAAAUAAAUAAUAUGAAAAAAACAAUUUCCAAUGAACUUCAGGUAAGAAGCUACAUAUAUAG
rnacentral:lncRNA from 10 species